GUCUGUGUGGCUUAAUGUAUAAGGCGUCUGACUUCGAAUCAGAAAAUUGGAUGUUCGAUUUCUCUCGAAGGAUG